rnacentral:rRNA from 1 species
AUACGGAGGGUGCAAGCGUUAUCCGGAUUUACUGGGCGUAAAGGGCGUGUAGGCGGUCUUGCAAGUCAGAAGUGAAAUUCCUGAGCUCAACUCGGGCGCUGCUUCUGAAACUGCAGGACUUGAGUGCUGGAGGGGAUAGCGGAAUUCCUAGUGGAGCGGUAAAAUGCGCAGAUAUUAGGAAGAACACCGGUGGCGAAGGCGGCUAUCUGGUCAGUAACUGGCGCUGAGGCGCGAAAGCGUGGGGAGCAAACAGGAUUAGAUGCCCUGGUAGUCCACGCCGUAAACGAUGAGUACUAGUUGUCGGGGGUUACCCCCCUCGGUGUCGCAGCUAACGCAUUAAGUACUCCGCCUGGGAAGUACGCUCGCAAGAGUGAAACUCAAAUGAAUUGGCGGGG